rnacentral:misc_RNA from 1 species
GAUGAAGAACGUAGCGAAAUGCGAUAAGUAAUGUGAAUUGCAGAAUUCAGUGAAUCAUCGAAUAUUUGAACGCACAUUGCGCCCGCCAGUAUUCUGGCGGGCAUGCCUGUUCGAGCGUCAUUACAACCCUCAGGCCCCCGGGCCUGGCGUUGGGGAUCGGCGGAGCCCCCCGUGGGCACACGCCGUCCCCCAAAUGCAGUGGCGGUCCCGCCGCAGCUUCCAUCGCGUAGUAGCUAACACCUCGCGACUGGAGAGCGGCGCGGCCACGCCGUAAAACACCCAACUCUUCUGAAGUGGACCUCGAAUCAGGUAGGAAUACCCGCUGAACUUAAGCAUAUCAAUAAGCGGAGGA